rnacentral:piRNA from 1 species
UGUGUGCUUUGAUGUGUCCUUAUUGU